rnacentral:rRNA from 1 species
UGCGUAGGCGGGCUAAUAAGUCAGUGGUGAAAUCUUCCGGCUCAACCGGGAACCUGCCAUUGAUACUGUUAGUCUUGAGUUCGGCUGAGGUAGGCGGAAUGUGUAAUGUAGCAGUGAAAUGCUUAGAUAUUACACAGAACACCAAUUGCGUAGGCAGCUUACUAGACCGACACUGACGCUGAGGCACGAAAGCGUGGGGAGCGAACAGGAUUAGAUACCCUGGUAGUCC